rnacentral:rRNA from 1 species
GAUGAACGCUGGCGGCGUGCUUAACACAUGCAAGUCGAACGAAGCACUUUAUUUGAUUUCCUUCGGGACUGAUUAUUUUGUGACUGAGUGGCGGACGGGUGAGUAACGCGUGGGUAACCUGCCUUGUACAGGGGGAUAACAGUUGGAAACGGCUGCUAAUACCGCAUAAGCGCACUGCAUCGCAUGAUGCAGUGUGAAAAACUCCGGUGGCAUAAGAUGGACUCGCGUUGGUUUAGCUAGUUGGUGAGGUAACGGCACACCAAGGCGACGAUCCAUAGCCGAGCUGUGAGUGUGACCGGCCACAAUUGGACUAAGACACAGCCCAAACUCCUACGGAAGGCAGCAGUGGGGAAUAUUGCACAAUGGGCGAAAGCCUGAUGCAGCGACGCCGCGAAAGCGAAGAAGUAUUUCGGUAUGUAAAGCUCUAUCAGCAGGGAAGAUAAUGACGGUACCUGACAAAGAAGCACCGGCUAACUACGUG